UACGAAGGGGGCAAGCGUUGUUCGGAUUUACUGGGCGUAAAGGGCGCGUAGGCGGUCAGCACAAGUCAGUUGUGAAAUCUCCGGGCUUAACUCGGAAAGGUCAACUGAUACUGUGCGACUAGAGUGCAGAAGGGGCAACUGGAAUUCUCGGUGUAGCGGUGAAAUGCGUAGAUAUCGAGAGGAACACCUGCGGCGAAGGCGGGUUGCUGGGCUGACACUGACGCUGAUGCGCGAAAGCCAGGGGAGCGAACGGG
rnacentral:rRNA from 1 species